rnacentral:rRNA from 1 species
UUUAGAGUUUGAUCAUGGCUCAGGAUGAACGCUGGCGGCAUGCCUAAUACAUGCAAGUCGAACGGGGUGCUUGCACCCAGUGGCGAACGGGUGAGUAACACGUAUCUAAUCUACCUUUUAGUGGGGGAUAACAGUUGGAAACGACUGCUAAUACCGCAUACGACAUCAUUAUCGCAUGAGAAGAUGUUGAAAGGCCCGUUUGGGUCGCUAGAAGAUGAGGAUGCGGCGUAUUAGCUAGUAGGUGGGGUAAAGGCCCACCUAGGCGAUGAUACGUAGCCGAACUGAGAGGUUGAUCGGCCACAUUGGGACUGAGAUACGGCCCAGACUCCUACGGGAGGCAGCAGUAGGGAAUUUUUCACAAUGGGCGAAAGCCUGAUGAAGCAAUGCCGCGUGAGUGAUGACGGUCUUCGGAUUGUAAAGCUCUGUUGUAAGGGAAGAACAGCUAGAAGAGGAAAUGCUUUUAGUUUGACGGUACCUUACCAGAAAGCCACGGCU